rnacentral:rRNA from 1 species
AAUUUUGGAUAAUGGGGGAAACCCUGAUUCAGCAAUGCAGCGUGCAGGAUGAAGGCCUUCGGGUUGUAAUGCACUUUCGUCAGGGAAGAAAAGGAUCUGGCUAAUAUCUGGAACUGAUGACGGUACUUGAAUAAUAAGCACAGGCUAACUACGUGCCUGCAGCCGCGGUAAUACGUAGGGUGCAAGCGUUAAUCGGAAUUACUGGGCGUAAAGCGUGCGCAGGCGGUUCGGAAAGAAGGAUGUGAAAUCCCAGGGCUCAACCUUGGAACUGCAUUCUUAACUACCGGACUAGAGUAUGUCAGAGGGGGGUAGAAUUCCGCGUGUAGCAGUGAGAUGCGUAGAUAUGCGGAGGAAUACCGAUGGCGAAGGCAGCCCCCUGGGAUAAUACUGACGCUCAUGCACGAAAGCGUGGGUAGCAAACAGG